rnacentral:rRNA from 1 species
UACGGAGGGGACUAGCGUUGUUCGGAAUUACUGGGCGUAAAGCGCACGUAGGCGGAUUUGUAAGUCAGGGGUGAAAUCUCGAGGCUCAACUUCGAGCUGUCGGUGGAAACUGUCUGGCUAGAGUCCGGAAGAGGAGAAUGGAAUUCCUGGUGUAGCGGUGAAAUGCGCAGAUAUCAGGAAGAACACCCGUGGCGAAGGCGGUUCUCUGGGACGGUACUGACGCUGAGACGCGAAAGCGUGGGGAGCGAACAGG